rnacentral:rRNA from 1 species
AUAUCAAUAAGCGGAGGAAAAGAAACCAACAGGGAUUGCCUCAGUAACGGCGAGUGAAGCGGCAACAGCUCAAAUUUGAAAUCUGGUCGUCGUUGGACGGUCCGAGUUGUAAUUUGUAGAGGAUGUUUCGGGCACGGCGGCGGGCUAAUUUUCUUGGAACAGAAUGUCAGAGAGGGUGAGAAUCCCGUCUGGACCCGCUGCACGGCCUGUGUGAAACUCCUUCGACGAGUCGAGUUGUUUGGGAAUGCAGCUCUAAAUGGGAGGUAAAUUUCUUCUAAAGCUAAAUACCGGCCAGAGACCGAUAGCGCACAAGUAGAGUGAUCGAAAGAUGAAAAGCACUUUGGAAAGAGAGUUAAAACAGCAC